UAAGAGGUCCCGCCUGCCCGGUGACCACGUGUUUAACGGCCGCGGUACUUUGACCGUGCGAAGGUAGCGCAAUCACUUGUCUUUUAAAUGGAGACCUGUAUGAAUGGCAUGACGAGGGCUCAACUGUCUCCUUUUUCUAGUCAAUGAAAUUGAUCUUCCCGUGCAGAAGCGGGAAUAGACCCAUAAGACGAGAAGACCCUGUGGAGCUUUAGACGCAAAGCCAGACCAUGUCAAUCAUCCCCACCCCAAGGGCUAAACAUAAUGAAUUACCUGUGCUGAUGUCUUUGGUUGGGGCGACCUCGGAGAAGCACAAAACCUCCAAGUGGAAUAGGAGCACUACGCUCCCAAAAACAAGAGCCACAGCUCAAACUAACAGAACUUCUGACCAACAAACAGAUCCGGCUUAUAAUGCUGAUCAACGGACAGAGUUACCCCAGGGAUAACAGCGCAAUCCCCUUCAAGAGCCCAUAUCGACAAGGGGGUUUACGACCUCGAUGUUGGAUCAGGACAUCCUAUUGGUGCAGCCGCUAUUAAGGGUUCGUUUGUUCAACGAUUAAUAGUCC
rnacentral:rRNA from 1 species